GCGGCACAAGAGCUUCUCUAAGGCUUCACCUCUGCCACCAGGCCCGUGGUCACCCUCCUCCACAGGGCCUGCAGCAGAUCGCUACAGAAAGGCCUCUGAGGCUCGUGCAGGUUGUUACAGAGAGCGCCCCGCUGGGCACACAGGGUCCAGCUAGAAUCAGUCAGGACCUUAAGGGCACCAGGCAGAGCCUGAGAAAAACAAAAUGAAAACCAAUUGCGAACGCAACCAACCUUCAGGCUUGGCGUAAUGAGGCAAACCCGAUCACACAAAAACAAGAUGUCUGUCAGCUUUUACAAAAUGACAAAGUCAUUUUGUAGAAAAUGUAUUUUUCAGGACCUCUUUCUUUCCAAACAAAACUCUGCCCUUAUCCCCAAAGAAAGAGAAUCCACCCUCCCCCUGGCACCAGUGAGGGAGAGGAGCCCAGGUGGUGUCUGUCUUCUUCCUCCGCAGCCACUCACCACAGCGAGGAGGAGAGAGAGCCCUCGCCCUCUCCUGUCCGCUCCAGUGAGCUGGGAGACAAGACUGGCGGGGAGCUGACUUUCCAGUCUCUUGCCAGGUCCCGCGUCUCUUCAAUGCUGUGCUAGGAGCCAUCAGCUUCUCAACAAAUAUCCCCGUAAGCUCUCGAAUCUGCAGGCUCCCUGAAGUCUCCAAUAGCUGACUGUGACUCAAGUAUUCGCUGAGGGGCUGGCCCUUGGGGUAGCAUGCAAAUACAUUUUCCUUCAGACUCACACAGGACAAGACAGAAGAUAAUGUUUUCAGCUCCUACGAACAUCAUUUCCCAGUCUGAGUGGGAACUUUCACUAAAGUGCAUUCUGGAGCAUGUACUGAAGAGGUUCAAUGUGUGGGUUCGAAUACCAGACCAGCUACGUGGCUGUAGAAAACAUAUCCAUCUCAAUUUCUGCAGGGAUCGAACAGUCAAGUUAACUCUUACAGAGUGAGCGGGCCAUUCUCCAAGACUAAAAGGUGUGCAAAGGAGUAUCUUUCACCAAAGCCCUGAAGAAUGAAACCGUACCAUCCACUUAGGGAGCACUAGUAUUUCUGUACAGUCAGGAGGAGACAAGAUAGAGAAACCUUAAGUGUCAUGCUCAGAACCACUCAUUUUAUUCAAGAAAUAACAUGAAAGCACUGAAGGAUUUUAAGCUAUUGAGCAGUGAGACCAUGCAUAUCUCCCAUGAAGCAUAUAGUAUGGGUGGAACGGGACAAGC